GGGAAAUGAGGAGUGGUCAAUACUCGCUAUUUUAUGCGGGAAGAGCGUUUCGCUCAGCCUGUUACGACAUUUGAACGUUCUCAUUUGUUUUACCAUCUGAUCCU
rnacentral:snoRNA from 3 species